rnacentral:misc_RNA from 1 species
AUAAUGUUAAUAAUAAGUAGUAAUAGUUGCAGUAAUUAAUAAUCAAGUGAUAGUGAUGGUAAUGGCGAUAGUAGCGGCAACAGCGGUAGUUAGAUGGUUAAAUGGUGGUAGUGAUGGCAAACUGAAGUAGUAGUGAUGGUAGUGGCCAGAUGGUGAUAAAUGUGACAAUAGUUAAGUAGUGAUAGUAAUGGUAGUGGCCAGGUGGUGAUAAAGAUGACAAUAACUAAGUGGGGAUAACAGUGGUCAAGUGAUGGGGACAGCUGACAAAAGGAUGGUGAUGUUGAUGGCAAUGGUAAUGGUAGUAGUGGUUGUGGUGACAGAAUAAGAGUAACAGUGGUAAUAACAGUUGUGGCCAAAUAGUAAUAGCGGUCUUAAUAUUGACACU